UGUCCGGAAUUACUGGGCGUAAAGGGCUCGUAGGUGGUUUGUCGCGUCGUCUGUGAAAUUCCGGGGCUUAACUCCGGGCGUGCAGGCGAUACGGGCAUAACUUGAGUACUGUAGGGGUAACUGGAAUUCCUGGUGUAGCGGUGAAAUGCGCAGAUAUCAGGAGGAACACCGAUGGCGAAGGCAGGUUACUGGGCAGUUACUGACGCUGAGGAGCGAAAGCAUGGGUAGCGAACAGGAUUAGAUACCCUGGUAGUCCAUGCCGUAAACGGUGGGCGCUAGGUGUGAGGGUCUUUUCACGACUUUCGUGCCGUAGCUAACGCAUUAAGCGCCCCGCCUGGGGAGUACGGCCGCAAGGCUAAAACUCAAAGGAAUUGACGGGGGCCCGCACAAGCGGCGGAGCAUGUGGAUUAAUUCGAUGCAACGCGAAGAACCUUACCUGGGCUUGACAUACACCGGAUCGGGCUAGAGAUAGUCUUUCCCUUUGUGGCUGGUGUACAGGUGGUGCAUGGUUGUCGUCAGCUCGUGUCGUGAGAUGUUGGGUUAAGUCCCGCAACGAGCGCAACCCUUGUCUUAUGUUGCCAGCAUUUGGUUGGGGACUCAUGAGAGACUGCCGGGGUCAACUCGGAGGAAGGUGGGGAUGACGUCAAAUCAUCAUGCCCCUUAUGUCCAGGGCUUCACACAUGCUACAAUGGUCGGUACAACGCGCAGCGACACUGUGAGGUGGAGCGAAUCGCUGAAAGCCGGCCUUAGUUCGGAUUGGGGUCUGCAACUCGACCCCAUGAAGUCGGAGUCGCUAGUAAUCGCAGAUCAGCAAUGCUGC
rnacentral:rRNA from 1 species